CCUACGGGAGGCAGCAGUGGGGGAUAUUGCACAAUGGGGGGAACCCUGAUGCAGCGACGCCGCGUGGGUGAAGAAGCGCCUCGGCGCGUAAAGCCCUGUCAGCAGGGAAGAAAAUGACGGUAACUGAAGAAGAAGCCCCGGCUAACUACGUGGCAGCAGGCGCGGGAAUACGUAGGGGGCAAGCGUUAUCCGGAUUUACGGGGGGUAAAGGGGGCGCAGACGGCGAUGCAAGCCAGGAGUGAAAGCCCGGGGCCCAACCCCGGGACUGCUCUUGGAACUGCGUGGCUUGAGUGCAGGAGGGGCAGGCGGAAUUCCUGGUGUAGCGGUGAAAUGCGUAGAUAUCAGGAGGAACUCCGAUUGCGAAGGCAGCUUACUAAACUGCCACUGACAUUGAUGCUCGAAAGUGUGGGUAUCAAACAGGAUUAGAUACCCCUGUAGUC
rnacentral:rRNA from 1 species